GCUGCCAACUUUUUUGACACAAAUUUACACGCUUUGCUGAAAUACAAAACGCGUAAAUUUCUUUUACGCGUUUUGUUCCUCUUAUAAAUAGAGGGCCUAAUCCCUCAUUUAUCCCAUCCCAUAAAGAGAGAGUAAGAAUAUUAUAUAAAUUUUGUAGUCUUGAGUGUCCUCUUUAGUAGUUGUUCUUUUUACAAGAGAUAAGUGAUAAUUAUUGUUUUCUCUUUGUAUUUGAGAGCAGUGUACUCCAUAUUUGAAUAGUGAGAUCCUUUUACCUCGUGGUUUUUCCCUUCUAUCUGUUAGAGGGGUUUUCACGUAAAAUUCUCGUGUCCAAUUUAUUUUUAUAUUUAUUGUCAUAUCAAACUUUAGUUGUGGUGCUUCCUUCCCUCAACACAUCAAAUUAAUGAAAGACUUUAACCUCCUCAAAAAAGUUUUGAUGCUGUCAAGAAGGCAAUGUUGCGGAGACAAGAAAAUUUGAUACCCAUUUAGCAAAUUGUGGAGGGAUUGGAAGAGAGUAUCAAAUUCGGAGAUGACACUAUCGAUCAUAUACUAUUAGCAAUGUGUUUUGAAAUAAUAUUAUUUAUUAAUAAUUAUUUAUUUACUUAUUUAUUCAAUUUAAUAAAGUGUUACAUUAAAUUAA